CCCUUAGAUGUUCUGGGCGGCCCGCGCACUACAUUGGCACUGUCAGCAAGGGUCUGAAACUAAAACUUUUGGGUAUUCUGAGAACCGGUGUCGUGACUGGGAUUGACCCUUGCAAUUAUUGGUUAUGAACGAGGAAUUCCUUGUAAUCGCGGUUUAUCAGCCCGCGUUGAAUGCGUCCCUGCCCUUUGUACACACCGCCCGUCGCUCCUACCGAUGAAUCGUCCGGUGAAGUUCAUGGAGUAGUGGUUGUUCCAUCCGCUGUCGAAGUGAAAUAAACCUCAUGAUUUAGAGGAAGGAGAAGUCGUAACA
rnacentral:rRNA from 1 species